AAGUAAAUAAUAUUCCAAAAGUAACAACAACCAAUAGCUUCAAAGUAGAGGAGUGUGUGUGUGUGUGUGUGUGUGUGUGUGUGUGUGUGUGUGUGUGUGUGUGUGUGUGUGUGUGUGUGU